GUAAGGCUAAGAGCCCAGUUGGAGUGGGCGGAGGUGAGGAUGGGAGGUGAGGAAGAGGAGUGUCAGUAUACAGACCACUCUCUCAGGAACAUUUGCUCUGAAGAGGUGCAGAAAAAUGGUGCAGUAGCCUGAAGGAGAUGUGAGGCUAAGCCUAAUAUGUUUUUAAAUUUAGGGAAAAUUAAGUCCUGUUUUAUUUCAGUGGGAAGGAUCCAGUAGAGAGGAAGAAACUGAUGAUGCCUGAAAGAAAGGGAAUAUGGGUGCUGGUGAAAGGGGAAGGGGCCUAGGGCACAGAUGGAAGGUCUGGCCACAGAUGGGCAGGCAGGGUGCAGAGCUGCAGGCAUUCCCGUGACUUUGGUGGUGGGAAGAUCUGGCAGUUGGUCUGAUUGUACCUAUUUUCUUUAUGAAGGAUAGUCUGAGGUCAGACCGAGAACGAAAGAGGAAGGGGUGUUGAAAAUACGCAGAGAGGGGAGAAAGUGUGAAAUGGUUGCACUGUGGAGAGGGAAAAGGAAUUUUCUAAGAAACCGUAGUAGGAUUGUCCAGCAGUUCAAAUGCCCAUUUGAAAUUUAUGCCAUAAAUUUGAGGUGGAUCCGAGAACAGCGCAAGGAAGUUAAGAGUGUUUGCAGGGGAUUUCGCGUGCUGGAUUAUGAAAUCUCAGCUGGCUGAGAAGUGAAGACCUGAAGGGAGAUAAAUCCUGAAGAAACCGCAGAGCGAUGGCCUGGAAGUCUCUGUUUAGGAGCUGAGACCUCUUACCAACAGCCAGCACCAAGCUGCCAGGCAAGUGAGGGCGCCAUCUUGGAAGUGGAUCCUCCAGCCCCAGUCAAGCCUUCAGAUGAAUGCAGCCUCAGCUAAUAUCUUGACUAAAAUCUGGUAAGAGACCCUGAACCAGAGCUGUCAAGGUAAGUUACUCCUGAAUUUCUGACCCACAGAAACUGUGUGAGAUAAUAAAGGUUUAUUGUUGUUUGAAGCAGCUAAGUUUUGGGAUAAUUUAUGUUACACAGCAAUAGAAAACUAAUAUAUAAUGUUUGCUAUUAUUAUUUUCUUGGGUCAACACCGUGAGCAAAGAAGCUGGGGAAAGAGAUGUUCUGCCUCAGGUGUGCUGUGAACAGUAUUAAUAACUGAGGAUACCUUGCUGCUAGGUUGUGCAUAAUGUGAUGGGCUAAGGACCAUCUGGACAAGUUACAAAGCUUCUUUUGAAAUGACCAGUUUCACACCCAUCUGAAGUGUGCUGCAGAAGCCAGUGGUCUCAGGGAGGACCUGCCUGGGCUGACAGACCUCAUUCACAUGACCUCCAGGGCUCAGGUGACAAACAUUAAAAUGAGAGUUAUGGGCUAUUGAUCUAAUGCAGUUCCCACAGUUAGGAAUUGAUGGAGCACUUUCAUUAGAAAAGGCAGUCCCAGCAGCAGGUUCAUUUGAGUCUGGCCCACCUUUCCAGCGUGUGGAAGCUCAGCCCUUCGCAUGAAAACCUCUGCAGUAUUUCCCAGCGACACUGGCUUCCUUCCCUGUCACCGGGAGCUGGACGGAGCUGUGGGGCACAUGACAGCUGCGUUUCAUCAGCGAAUGUGAACUCAUGUCCAAGAAGUCCCCACCCCUCUCGGUACCUGAGAUUCUGGGAAAUCAGCUCUAUUUUCAGCCUCUAGGUUUCCUUGUCAUUAUGAGUGCUGAGCUCCUCGGAAACAGGUGGCCACCGGGGAGCUGAAAAAGAGGAAGAUGAAGUGAGACCCACACAGCCCCGCAAGGAGACAGUUCUAAACCCCGAAGACUGGAAACCGUUGUCCAAAGUCCUCUGGGCAGUCACCCCGGAGACGUCCGCUGUGUUUGGGAAUACAUCUGGCAGGGCUUCCCUCAGGAACCGAAUGGUCAGCCAAUUCGAGCCUCCUUCCUUGAAAGAACUUCGAUAUAAAACAUUUGAAAAGAGUGUUUUAACACUUCUGUAUUUCUUGCUGCUUAUUCCUUUCUUUCCUGGCUUUGCUGCUCAGAGACAGACCUUCAGUCCAGCAACAGCUAUCUCCCCAGGGCUCUACCGGAAAGCGGUAGAGAGGUGACCACUUUUCAAUUAUCCCCCAUCCCUGGGAAGAAAG
ensembl:lncRNA